UACGGAGGGGACUAGCGUUGUUCGGAAUUACUGGGCGUAAAGCGCGCGUAGGCGGAUUAGUCAGUCAGAGGUGAAAUCCCAGGGCUCAACCCUGGAACUGCCUUUGAUACUGCUAGUCUUGAGUUCGAGAGAGGUGAGUGGAAUUCCGAGUGUAGAGGUGAAAUUCGUAGAUAUUCGGAGGAACACCAGUGGCGAAGGCGGCUCACUGGCUCGAUACUGACGCUGAGGUGCGAAAGCGUGGGGAGCAAACAGGAUUAGAUACCCGAGUAGUCC
rnacentral:rRNA from 1 species